ACACCAUCUUCUUAUGCCUACAGUGACCAGUCAUCUUCAGUUGCUCAGGUCUAAGGUGUUCUGAGGAUGUGGGCAUUCAGUUCUAAAACUAAAGAGCCCCAGGAAAACCAAGAUAAGCUGGUCACUCUUUCUUAGGAAGCCUACAAUGGCUUCUAUGAAUGUUAGAGUGAGCGUCAAAUUUCUUAGUCUUGCCACCAAAACUUUCAGCUUACUUUCUGACUUCACCUGUGGACAUAUUUUCAUGACUCAUUUUGCUUCAAGAAUUAAAAUUCUUGUGUUUUCUCAAACAGGUCACACUUAACUGCCUGGUUCUUCACUACUCUGAAUGCCUUUUCCCACAUUUUCACCAAUAAAAUGACUCCUUCCAUGAAAGAUUUUAAGUUGAUGGAGAAGUUUAGGGGCUCCUAUUAUAACCAUUGCAUAGAUAUAUUUUAUCCUUUAUCCAUUUUAGACUAAUCUUUGACCCGUGUUUCAUCCACUCCUUUUAGAUGGUGAGUUUCUUGAAAGCAGGGACUCAACUUUUUCAAUUAGUAUGGUUUGAGUGUUUUUGUGUCUUCCAAAAUUCAUGUCGAAAGUUAAUCCACAAUGCAAUAGUAUUAAGAGGCAGGGCCUGUAGAGGUGAUGAGGUCAUGAAGGCUCUGCCCUCACAAAUGGGAUUAGUGCUCUUAUAAAAGGGCUUGAGGGAGUCAUCUUGGCCCUUUUUGCCCUUCUUCCAUUUAAGAACACAGUGUUCCUCUCUUCUUGGAUGUGAGAAUGCAGAAAGAAGGCACCAUCUUGGAAGCAGAGAGUGAAAUCGCAUCAGAAACUGAAUCUGCUUGCACCUGGAGCUUGGACUUCACAACCUACACAACCUUCACAACCCUAGAACUCUGAGAAAUAAAUUUCUUUUAUUUAUAAAUAAGCCAUGAAAGAUGUGCCUGUGUCCCCUUCAUCUUCCACCGCAAUUGUAAGAUUCCUGACGCCCUCUCAGCUAUGCUUUCU
rnacentral:lncRNA from 1 species